AUGCGCAGAUUCUUUCUGCGCAGGUCAAUGUUGGUGAAUUUAUUUAUGGUUAUUUAAAUUAAUUAUGUUAUUAAAUGCAGUUUCUGUUACAUAAUUAUGGGAGGCCAUGAUGAUAUGUAUUUGGAGAAGUUUCACUUAAUUAACGUCUUGAAACGAUUAUUCAACAACAUCUAUAAUUCUGACACUUCCCUGAGGACUGGCUCCACUCUACGUUCGUCACACUACCAAAAUCAAAUAAUGCAACCUCGUGUAAAGAAUAUCGUCUGAUUAGUUUAAUGAGUCACUUUCUAAAACUUUUCCUUCGAAUUCUACAUACAAGGCUUUAUCAAAAAUAUGAGGAAGCAAGUUUAGCAAGUGAAGCUAGUCAGUUUGGAUUUAAAACCAGAGAAGCCAUGUUUAGUCUCCAGACACUGGUGCGAAAUUGCCAAGAUCACAGAAAGGACGUCUUUAUGUGCUUCAUCUACUAUGAGAAGGCAUUAAUUUGACAACAUUAAACACAAUCUUUUACGAGUUCUGGGACUGGAUGCAAAGGAUAUACGACUGAUUGGUAAUUUAUGUUGGUACCAAAAAGCGGAAGUCCGAGUAAAUAACGCUGGAACAACUGAGGAUUUUGAAAUCAAAAAUGGCGUUCGCCAAUGGUGUAUCCUGUCCCCAAUGCUGUUCUACCUAUACGUAGAAAGAGCAUUCUCUGACUCAAUCUCGAAUAGUCCCUUUGGAAUUAAAAUAAAUGGAACUCCAUUAACAAUAUCUGCAAAACCUACUAAACCUGGUUAACGAAAAAAGCCAAAGACGAGGUUUAAAAGUUAACAUCCACAAAACCAAACUUAUGGUGGUUAGUAAGAAUGAUGCUCCACACACUCGAAUACACUUUAAACAAUUUAGAUACUUGACAUGCAUGAUCAAUGAGGGAUGGAACCCAGAUCAAGAGAUAAGAUGCAGGAUUGAACAAGUUAAAACAAGCCUUUCUAAGUGACUUCGAAAUGUGGGGAUCCUGCAGCUAAUGUAGGAGCUGUCUUGGGUUGAUUACCUGAGUAACGAAGACGUUCUAGGGCCGGUCUAGGAGAACGAAAAAUUUUUGAAAAUAUCGAAAAAAGAAAGAUAGCUGAAAUUAUCAUGGCUAAGAAAUAUCGAUAUACAGAAUUUCCAAACAUUACAGAAUGCUGCACAUAAUAGAACCAUCUGAUAUUAAAAGAGAUUAACGCCUACGCAGGAAUCUGCAUGGCAUUUUAAGAAUUCUUAAAUAAAACAAAGUUGUAUAGACGA